rnacentral:rRNA from 1 species
AGCAGCCGCGGUAAUUCCAGCUCCAAUAGCGUAUAUUAAAGUUGUUGCAGUUAAAAAGCUCGUAGUUGAAUUUCGGGACUAAUAUGUCGGUCGUACUUUGUACGUACUAGCAUUAUUGGUUUCUCCCUUCUGACGAACCACGAUGUCAUUAAUUUGGUGUCAUGGGAAAUCAGGACUGUUACUUUGAAAAAAUUAGAGUGUUUAAAGCAAGCUCGCGCUUGAAUACAUUAGCAUGGAAUAAUGAAAUAGGACGUUUGAUUCUAUUUUGUUGGUUUCUAGGAUCGACGUAAUGAUUAAUAGGGAUAGUUGGGGGCAUUAGUAUUCAAUUGUCAGAGGUGAAAUUCUUGGAUUUAUUGAAGACUAACUACUGCGAAAGCAUUUGCCAAGGAUGUUUUCAUUAAUCAAGAACGAAAGUUAGGGGGUCGAAGACGAUCAGAUACCGUCGUAGUCUUAACCAUAAACUAUGCCGACUAGGGAUCGGAUGAUGUUAAUUUUUAAUGACUCAUUCGGCGCCUUACGG